rnacentral:tRNA from 6 species
GGGCGAUAUGCUGCAAGGUGCGGCAGCGGACUGUAACUCCGCCGAGGCGACUCAUGCUUGGUUCGAUUCCAAGAUCGCCCACCA